GACGAACGCUGGCGGCGUGCUUAACACAUGCAAGUCGAACGGAAAGGCCCUGCUUUUGUGGGGUGCUCGAGUGGCGAACGGGUGAGUAACACGUGAGUAACCUGCCCUUGACUUUGGGAUAACUUCAGGAAACUGGGGCUAAUACCGGAUAGGAGCUCCUGCUGCAUGGUGGGGGUUGGAAAGUUUCGGCGGUUGGGGAUGGACUCGCGGCUUAUCAGCUUGUUGGUGGGGUAGUGGCUUACCAAGGCUUUGACGGGUAGCCGGCCUGAGAGGGUGACCGGCCACAUUGGGACUGAGAUACGGCCCAGAAUCCUACGGGAGGCAGCAGUGGGGAAUAUUGCACAAUGGGCGGAAGCCAGAUGCAGCAACGCCGCGUGCGGGAUGACGGCCUUCGGGUUGUAAACCUCUUUCGACUGUGACGAAGCGUGAGUGACGGUAAUGGGUAAAGAAGCACCGGCUAACUACGUG
rnacentral:rRNA from 1 species